CGAACGCUGGCGGCGUGCUUAACACAUGCAAGUCGAACGAAGAGCGAUGGAAGCUUGCUUCUAUCAAUCUUAGUGGCGAACGGGUGAGUAACGCGUAAUCAACCUGCCCUUCAGAGGGGGACAACAGUUGGAAACGACUGCUAAUACCGCAUACGAUCUAAUCUCGGCAUCGAGGAUAGAUGAAAGGUGGCCUCUACAUGUAAGCUAUCACUGAAGGAGGGGAUUGCGUCUGAUUAGCUAGUUGGAGGGGUAACGGCCCACCAAGGCGAUGAUCAGUAGCCGGUCUGAGAGGAUGAACGGCCACAUUGGGACUGAGACACGGCCCAGACUCCUACGGGAGGCAGCAGUGGGGAAUCUUCCGCAAUGGACGAAAGUCUGACGGAGCAACGCCGCGUGAGCGAUGACGGCCUUCGGGUUGUAAAGCUCUGUUAAUCGGGACGAAAGGCCUUCUUGCGAAUAGUGAGAAGGAUUGACGGUACCGGAAUAGAAAGCCACGGCUAACUACGUG
rnacentral:rRNA from 1 species